AUAUUUUGUGUAAUAUAUAUAAAAAAUAUAUGGGAACUUAUAUUAUCUAUCCAAAAACAUAAAAGAAUUUAACUUAUAAUAUAAGAUGGAUACAAACAUUUCUUUAAUUAAAGAUAUAUCAUAUUUAGUACCAUAAGUGCCUUAUAGAAUUAAUAUAACAAUAUGAAAUUGAGGUGUAAAUAAGAAAUUUUAAAUAAAGGAUAACCAGAGAAGCAUAUUGCCUAAAACCUAUACAAAAAUGCCGACUACCAAUUACUAUAAGAACUUGGGUAUACUGUAAGGAAUAGUUAAAAAACUAUUAUCUACUGUAAAUGAUAAGAUCUAAACCUAACAAGUAUAGGCAAGAUGACAAUAAUGACCUAACUGAGGUAGAACACAACAAAUAUUGAUAUUUAUGCAAGCAAUGGAGAAACUUCAACCUUGAAAUCUUAAAAAGCAUUUAGAUUAUAUUUGGAUAAUAUUGAAAGAAUAGUAACACUUAUACCUUUAUACAUAUAGUGCAAAAUAUUUAAAGAAUUCACUAGAUAAUUCGAUAAAUACAGUUGUAACACAACAUUGGUUGAUGCAUAAUUCUUGUAGCUUAAUGAAAUAUCUACCAUGUAUAAAAGGUUAAAUUAUAAUACAUAUAAUACUGAUUUGUUUAAAUUAUAACACAAAAACAUACCACAAUAUGUGACCAAUAAUUAAGAUACAAUAUGCUUGUGAGCAAACAUGAAAUUAAAAGUGAAAACCAUUCUAUUAUACUAAAAAAGGAAAACCUAAAUAAAAUUGUAAAUGAAGAAACUCGUCCCUGUAGGACGUGAUUUUAUAAGAUAACUUACAGACAACAGCAGACAUCUGAAUUUUAAACAAAUUUAAAAAAAAAACAACUGCCACAUUAUACACAUAGCCAUGACGUUAACUAAUGAACAUAAGUAUUUAUGCUGACGCAAUACGUAUACUAACGAUUACGUAACGUAUAACUAACGAUAAACAUUAAGGAAGAAGCAAUGUCAAAAAUAUGAUAAGCAAAGAUAAUAACAUAUAUAUAUAAUGCUUUGGGGGUAUAAUUUAUAAAACCUACAAUAGCAACUUCUUACAAAGAUGAUUCAAACAAAUCUUAAUUUUGGUUAGAAGUUAGUUCUAAGUUAAUUGUAAAAGAAGUAUGAAUAAAUUAUCAAAGAAUAACAUUUUAUCAGAAGCAAGAAAUUAUUAACAUCGCUGUAAAAAAUGGCUUUCUUAACGUGGAUAUCUAUUUUAAAGCAAUUAACCAAAGUGUUACGAGGAAAUACAAAUAAUAAAACACAAGUUGUUUCUUAUAUGACAAAGAAUUAAAUUGAUUUUUUAUGAUGCUAAAAAAUAUUUUAAAGACUUGAAAACCUUGAAGUAAAUGUUACCAGUUUGAUAUUUAAAAUGUAUGAUAUUAGCUAAAUCAUUAUACUGAUAAAUUUACAACAUGUUAAACAAGUAAGCCUUUGCCCGUAGGCACAAAGAAUCUGUUAUCGUAGAUUAAGAAAAACAAUGGUUAUAAUGUAUAUAUUUAUUAUAUGUUAUUUUUCUGAUUAUAAGGCUAUAAAUUAAUAUAAAUAAAUAAACAAGUUUGAGAAAACAAAAUUUUAAGGCAUGGUAACAGCAUGGUAACAAUGUCUAUUUUGAUUUAAAAUAUUCCAUAGAUUUUAAUAUUGUGUAGAAACUACUAAUGUAUUAAACAACCUAUAAUGUAUCGAAUAUAAAUAUUUUUUUAUGUUUCGAUAACUAUUAUGUUUUAAAUCAAUUGGCAGUAAGUAUCAAGUACUUAAAAAACCGAGCAGUAGCAAUUAAAAACAUCGUGAUGAAGCAAUAACCAUAAUUUAGGAAAGGAAUGGCCUUAUAGGAAUGAGGUUUUAUUGGAACUGGAAAACUUGAGUACUUUAAGUAUAUAAUGGCGAAAAUUUAACUACGACAUCGUAAAUAAUGAAAAAAUAAUAGGAAUAAGUUGCGUAACAAAAAUUAAUCCAGUAUUUAAUGAGACCAGAACAGUAGCAAAUAAAAAGCUUUGAUAUAAGAAAAAAUCAAAAUGUUAUAUGAAACAGUUGCGGUAAAGAAAAUAGGUUUUAUUGGAACUGGAAUAAUCGAGUCCUUUAGAACAGCAGUAGCAAUAAAAAACUUAGAACAUAAGCAAUAAAAAACUUAGAACAUAAGCAAUAAUGAAAAAAUAAUUGGAAUAAGUUGCGUAACAAAAAUUAAUCAAGUAUUUUAUGAGACCAGACCAUUAGCAAUUAAAAAUCUUUGAAAUGAGAAAUAAUAAAAAAAGUAUAGGUAAAAGUUGCGUUACUGAAAUUAGGUUUUAUUGGAACUGGAAUAAUCGAGUGCUUUAGAACAGCAGUAGCAAUAAAAAACUUAGAACAUAAGCAAUAAUGAAAAAAUAAUAAGAAUAAGUUGCGUAACAAAAAGUAAUCCAGUAUUUUAUGAGACCAGAACAGUAGCAAAUAAAAAGCUUUGAAUAAGAAAUAAUGAAAAAAGUAUAGGUAAAAGUUGCGUUACUGAAAUGAGGUUUUAUUGGAACUGGAAUAAUCGAGUGCUUUAGAACAGCAGUAGCAAUAAAAAAUUUAGAACAUAAGCAAUAAUGAAAAAAUAAUACGAAUAAGUUGCGUAACAGAAAUUAAUCAAGUAUUUUAUGAGAACAGACCAUUAGCAAUUAAAAAACUUUGAUAUAAGCAGUAAUGAAAAAAUUGAUAAAAGUUGCGUUACAGAAAUUGGGUUUUAUUGGAACUGGAAUAAUCGAGUGCUUUAGAAGGGCAGUAGCAACAAAAAAAGUUUAGAACAUAAGCAAUAAUGAAAAUAUGGGUAAAAGUUGCGUUACUGAAAUUAGGUUUUAUUGGAACUGGAAUAAACAUAGACAAUACUAUAAUCAAGUAUUUUAUAAGAACAGAACAUUAGCAAUUAAAAAACUUUGAUAUAAGCAGUAAUGAAAAAAUUGAUAAAAGUUGCGUUACAGAAAUUGGGUUUUAUUGGAACUGGAAUAAUCGAGUGCUUUAGAAGAGCAGUAGCAACAAAAAAAGUUUAGAACAUAAGCCAAAAUGAAAAUAUGGGUAAAAGUUGCGUUACUGAAAUUAGGUUUUAUUGGAACUAGAAUAAACAUAGACAAUACUAUAAUCAAGUAUUUUAUGAGAACAGACCAUUAGCAAUUAAAAAACUUUGAUAUAAGCAGUAAUGAAAAAAUUGAUAAAAGUUGCGUUACAGAAAUUGGGUUUUAUUGGAACUGGAAUAAUCGAGUGCUUUAGAAGAGCAGUAGCAACAAAAAAAGUUUAGAACAUAAGCAAUAAUGAAAAUAUGGGUAAAAGUUGCGUUACUGAAAUUAGGUUUUAUUGGAACUGGAAUAAACAUAGACAAUACUAUAAUCAAGUAUUUUAUAAGAACAGAACAUUAGCAAUUAAAAAACUUUGAUAUAAGCAGUAAUGAAAAAAUUGAUAAAAGUUGCGUUACAGAAAUUGGGUUUUAUUGGAACUGGAAUAAUCGAGUGCUUUAGAAGAGCAGUAGCAACAAAAAAAGUUUAGAACAUAAGCCAAAAUGAAAAUAUGGGUAAAAGUUGCGUUACUGAAAUUAGGUUUUAUUGGAACUGGAAUAAUCGAGUACUUUUUAACAGCAGUAGCAAUAAAAAUAAUUCAAAAUCAGCAAUAAUGAAAAUAUUAUAGGAAAAAGUUGCUAACAGGAAUGUAUAAGACUAGAGCAACAUCUAUUUUAGUUCAUAACAUGUUCAUGUGUUAAAAACUAAACGAUGACUUCAUAACUACGUAGGCGUUGUGAAUAAUAAAAAUAACCAUAUAACUAAUUGAGGAUGUUUGAGGGAGUCGCUAUACUCGAUUUAAUAAUAAUGACAUGUAACAUGACUUUUAAAAACGUAAUACUAAGCAAUAAGGAAACAAAAAAACCUGUAUUAUUGAAAUUUUCUAUUUUAAAUUCUAUAGAAAUAUUUAUUUUUUGUACUAUUCUUAUCACAUAUCGAAUAAAACAGAAAUAUAAUAAUUCUAUUGAACUUGAAAGCAUUUCUUUGUUUAAAAAUAAUUAUUGAACUCUCCCUUACUUAAACUGUUUCAUAUGUAUAUAUCUUGUAUAUAUUUUAUCAAGUAUUUUGUAUGUAAAUAGUCCCGGAAAUUUCUAUGUUUUAAUGUUACGUUAUACUCAUGCAAUCAUGAAUCAGUUACAUUUUGUCAUUAAAAUUUGUCAUUAUUUUUUAUUAUUACGAAAUAUUGCGCAAUUGUAAUUUAAAUACAAAACCAUCAUAUUUAGGUACUUUAUAUAAUUUUUAUAUUGCUUUGUUGUGCGUAUUAUUUGACUUAAUUUAAAAUAUAUCUAUUACUUCCUCUUCGAUAGACCAUAAAUCAUAAAGAUAUGAUAAUUUGCAUAAAGUUUACAUCAUCAAACAUACUUAUGAGGCGUAUUUUUAAUAUAUAAAUAUUAUAAUAAACAUUAAUAGCAAGCAAGCAUCAGUGGAUGUUUACAUAUAUAUAUAUAUAUAUAUAAUGUGUAAUUAAUAAUUGGAAAUUGAAUUGAUAAAAAAUAUAAAGGCGUAUAAUUUUUUUUUUAAUUACCUAUUCGAUGAAUUUAGAAUGAUGCCCACGAAAAUUUUAUUAUUAUACGUUUAAACAUAUAUGUGAAAUUAUUCCUUGGUAAUAUAACCGUUAACAACCUAUGAAAAUUUAUUGCGUAAUAUUUCUAUACCAACAUAUUGAUAAUAUUUAAUUAUAAUACUAGACAUUAAAGAAACAACUGUAAAGGUACUUAUGACGAUGUGACAAAUACAUAUAUUAAUAUAAUGUAUACCUAUAUUUUACGUGACAAUUAUUAUAUAGAUUUAAGUAAAAACGGAGUGUCACGAAACUGCAUUACGAUCAUGAGUUACUUGACCCGAUGGGGUUGAGCAGUUUUUUUUGAUAUAUCAACUUUUAUGUGCAAUUUUCAGGAAUAUUAUCUGUAUCUUGAUUGAUGGUUGUCGCUUUUUCAACAGACUUAUCGAGUUACGGGCAGGCAGGUCGGUCCGUUAGUCAACGUUGUUACUGGUCCAGUUGACAGCGUCGUUUCUCGUACUUCAUAUUUGGUCCUUGGCAAGGCGUCCGUUGUAGAGAAAUGUCCCUUUAGGGAAUUUUAAAAUAUUCUCUAGAAAGAUAUUUAUUAUAUAUAUUGGAGCUGCAGGCAGGCUUGUUCGCAAUAGGAGUUUUUAAUCAAUAAGAGAUAGACAUCGAAAAUACGUGGAAAAAUACUAAUGUAGUCAGCAUUAAUAUUAAAAAAAAAGUUUUGCUAAAUUUUUACGCGGAUGCAGAAAUCAAAUUUAUCGCUUUUUAAAACGAAACAAAGUUAACCUUCUAAGAUCGUUAUAGAAAGGUAGACCUUUUUUUAUUUAACAUUGUCUCCAAUUAGUAUCGAAACAGGGUAAGAAUAAGGCCUAAUUUAGCAUUUGACAUGCAUUUAUUUGACUCGGAGAACGAUACGUUUGAUAUGAAUUGGAAAAGGUCAGUACGGAUUUAAAGGUGAAUCACUAUUGAGAAUAAAAAAUCCAGGAACGAGAAAAGCCGAAGGUUAGUCGGGCAAAUUGCAUUCGAAAAGUUUUUCUCACAGCUGAUAAGGAUCAUUCAAAUAAAUAAUGUUGAAUUUAUUCGAAAUCGACAAAAAUAUCUGCAGCAUAUAGAAAUAGAAAUCUCUAUAAAGAAAAUCGGUUUUAAUCACAAGGAGGAAGGAUAAAUAUUCCAAAAGGUCUGUCCAUAGUUCCGCUUCGUAAAACAUUUUUAUAUUAAAUAGAAAAUGUGACAAUUCCUUUAUGUUUUAUCUUUGCAGAGUCUUUAAACGUUGCUUUAAUAUUUGUAGCAAUUUGGUAUAUCGGAUUUAAAUAAUAAAAAUUGAGCUAAACGUUUAGAAUAAUACGUUUUAACGUAUCGGAUUGACGAAAUUGAUAUGUAAAUCCUUGAACGGUAUCGAGUUAUACAAAUUUUAGGAUUAAAUAAACCCAACGAUUUGAUUGAUUUCGAGAUUUUAAGAAAACAAGUACUAGUUUAGGAGACUAUUACUAUGAAAGUAUUAUAUACCGAAUCUAGUGGUAUACGGUUGGAAAGAAGUUUAUGUCAAAGAAACAAUUAUUUUUUUAAAACUACGCGUGAGGUAUAGGUACAAAUAUAUCGUCAUGCUGAUAAUCUAGUGGAGAACUUAUUUACCGCUUAACUAAUAUGUAAAUGUGCGUUACGAGUCUAUUGGUACGUAAACCAGAAAGAAAUAAAAAUCCUUAAGCCAAAAAUAGUUAAUGCAACAUGAUUUACACCGAUUUCGCUAUUUCAUAACAAGGUCAGAUAAACAUAAAUGAUGCAAAGGAAACAGGUUAGUUUUGGAAUUAACUGCCUCAAAAAUGCCACAACAAUUUUAUUGGAUACAGACAUAAGAUAAGUAAUAAUUUUGAGAAACUUAGCAAAGUAUGUUCCACCGAACUCGGAAAAUAACAACCGGAUCUUACGGAUUAACAAGUAAUUAUCUAAAUUCUAAAAAUUUAUACACGAGAAGAAAGGUCAGUGCAUAUGUGCAUUUAUGUAUUAAAUAUUUUUGUAUGUAUUUUUUGUGUGUAUAUUAUACUAGCUAUAUUAUUUUUGCUUCGUUCUAUAUUAAUGCUCUUUAACCGGGAAAUAAAAAUUCAGGUAAACAUGCCAUAUUCUUUGAUGUAAAUUAUAUCUCACACCUCAGAAAGGUCACGGAACACACCUAAGCAUGAACCUAUUCACUUUAGCAGGAUAAUUCAUCUAAUUUUUAGGUUAUCAUAAUUUUCUGUAUUAAUUUGCACAUUCUCAAGAAAGAAAAAUAGAAGAGAGAGAAAAUCAAGUAACGAAUAAAGAAAUAUUUCAAGAAUGUAAGAAGAUUAGUUAAAGCUAAUCUAAAUAUUUUAAGUGAUUUAAAUGUGCAGUUUUUACAAGUAUAAUGUUAAUGCAAGUAUAUUGUGGAUAUAGAGGAAAGUUUGAAAUAGUUGAGUGAUGGUUAAUAUGUGGUUGUUUUAAUGUUUGUUUCGAUAUGUUGAAAUAUCACACGCUUUUAUCUGUCAGCCACAUUUAGAAAUAACUAAUAGCAUGAUAGCGGGUAGCUAUUUCAACAUCGUGGAGUUAGUGAGAGUGCUAAUAUUGGUUUCAGUGGUGAAGUUUGAGGAAAGCUUAAGAAGGCUAUAAGCAAUGUUUGUUGUGUUCGUGAAGUGCUUAUUUCAACUUUAUAAAGCAGAGUCUAAUGAAAAACUAAAUUUGCGUUUCGCUUAUAAAACCCAUCACCCCGUAAACACAUGUAGGAAGUUAUCUGUUCACAGAAUUUUACUAUCAUGCUCGCUUGAAACACAAACAUAAUGGAUUUGUAGAAUAAACAAACCCGGUAUGUACGUUGACUAAUGUUCUAAUGACCGAAGGUCUCAAUGGAAAGUCCAAAGCAAGCUUCAGGCACGUGCUUGUCUAGAACUUCAGCAUUUUGUCCCUUAGACCUAGAUCUCGCUAACAGUGUGCUUUCAGAAUUAGACCUGUUCCGCUUUCAAAUUGUGGAUGAGGGAUAGUUUAGAAUUCAUUAAAAUCAGCUGAUACAUGAGGCAAGUUAAACGCCCGGCAAACACACACUUGAGAAAGACAUCGAAACGCGCAAUGGAAUUUCUUCGGUUUAAUUGGUUAUUGGAAAUUUUUCUUAUUAGCUUUUAGUAGAAAUAUCUAAUUCAGGUUUCAAGUGCCGCAAAUCGCUAUUCAGAGAGACCACAUCUUUCUAUGUAAUGUAUAAUGUAACGCUUUGGUAGAAAACAUACCUACACUUAACAUAAGGAAACGGGAGAGGCCAAAAACUACUCUAAAAUGGUAAUACUUGUUAAUGUAUUGCAUGAAAAUUAACUUCACCUUAACACGACUAGUAGAUAGGGAACGGCUUUUAGUAUGUUUCAGAUUUUUACGGCUAAGCUAAUGUCGCACGAGACUGCAUAGAUUAAUGGAAUUUAUCAUAAGCUAGGCAAAAACGCUUUCUCAGCACUCCAUGAAUAUUACACAGGUACUUUCACCAUAAUAGGUUUAGGAACACAAACAUUUUCAAAUGUUUUUCAGAUUCGUUGGAAAGCUCAUCAUUGGUAUUGCACGAUUAUGCUUAAGCAAGUUAAAGGAAAUCACUUAGCGUAAGAUAUUAAGCCGUAUUUUUUUAAUGUUAAUGUUUAGGAUGCUACUAAUGGAUAUUUCAGGAAUUUUUUUUAAAAAUAUAAAAAAUUCAAUAAAAGGCAUUGAAUUCUGUCUAAUAGGAAUAAGAACGAAAUCUAAGGGGCUGUGAUAUCGAAAACAUAAUUUAAACGCUUAACGACUUUUGUCGACGCGAUGUAGAUUUUAAGUAAGUAAUGACAUAUAUUAUAUUUUUCAAAUCGAGAAUUGGUUAGGGUGCAACUAACUUGUUUCAGAUAAACUUUAUAUACCUGAAGAUCACCAAUUGACUGAAGUAAUUUAUUAUAAAUUUUUGGAAUUGUACAUGAAUCUCAUAACGCGAACCCAAUGAAAGAAAACGAAUUAAAUAAUUAUUAUAUACUAUGAAACAUGUUUUCCUAAAAUAAAAUAAUGUAUAAUAUAAUUUUAAAAAUGGCAACUGGUUUUCUUUUAUUUGAUAUGUAUUCGCAGAAGUCGGUUUUUUUUCUCUCUUUAUUUACAGACAUCUGGAUCAUAGCGAUCACAUCACGGCGUCACGUUACCUUCAUGUAAUAACGUUUGACUUUAAUUCUGUAUAUAUAUAUUGCAAUUUAUAUUACCUAGGUUACGGCUCGAAUAAUGAACAUGUUUCAGAUAAUAAGGAGCGGUAUGGCCGCGUAAUUUUUUUUUUCUUCUAACACUGUUCCCAGAUUUGUUAUCUAUAUCAGAAAUCGGCUAGGCGACGCGAGCCCAGCCAAACAUGUUUAGCCUCCAAGGCAGAUUAGGUAAACAUAUUGAACUGUACAUUAAUGACAAUUUCUAUUAUGAAACUCGUAAUUUAUAAAAGGAAUUAAAAUAUUAUCGUACGUAUGUUUUUAUUGAUUAUUAGUACUAUUAGUACUAGGUAGGGUGCAAUUAAUUCCAAUGUUUCAGAGGAAAACUGCGCGUUCCUCGAACCGCGGCCCCGCCGGGAUAAAUUAAUUUCCGAAAAAUUGGUUUAAAAUCUGUUUGCAGAAAUCCUGUCUGAAGGUUGAGGCGAUUACGAAUUAAGGCUGUACAGUCGAUACUGUAAGUUAGGAUGAUAGCCAUUAAAAUAACCAACAUUUUUAUUGAUUAAACGUUAGGCACUAAUCACUGGAUAACCCGACAAAGGUACUAGUGUGUAAGCACACAAGCCCGUUAUUUUGCUAUGUUCACAGAAACCCUGAAAGGUUAAGGAAAUAUUCGACAUCACGGUAAAUUAGGUAAAAGUUUUUUUUUACUGCAACCGCAAUCUUUGAAAUCUUAUGUUAGGUUAGGAUGCCAUUAAUUCAAAUGUUUCAGAUAGUUGCAUCGAUUUGCUGGGGCUUGAAUGGUAGAUACAAUUACAUUAUUUGCAGAAAUCGGUUUAAUAGUUUUUCGCAGAAAUCCUGAGGUGCAAGCACAGUAUCCGGUACUGUAAGUCACGAAAACCCCCACUUUUGCGCUUUAACCUAUGCUAUAGGGCUUUAGCGUAAGCAAAAAUCGUUUGUCUUUAUGUUCACAGAAAUCCCGAAGCUUAUAAAAGCAUGCAUUUUACGAUGACGCAUAAUAGAGUUCAUGAUACUGUGAGUUAUUUAGCCCCUAACGCUACUAGUAUGUGUAGGGAUCUAGUAUAAGGCAAAAUCGGUUUUGACAAUGUUCACAGUAUUCCGGUUUCCCAAGGAUAGAGUCCCAGACAUUUGACGUGUUCAGGCGACAAACGAUCCACAGUGCUGUAAGUGACACAGAAGUUAUUGGUAGGGAAUAUUAUAAGCAGAAAUCGUUUUCUCAAAUGUUCACAGAAAUCAUGCAGGAUUUAUUGGCGAUCAGGCAGUAAACCGUUCUCUUGUCUGUAAGUCACGUUACUAUAUGCCUAUAGGCUAUCAUUAGCUAGGCAACACUAGCAUAAGCAAAAACGAUAAUUAAAAUGUUCACAGAAAUCCUGAGGGAUGUACGGGGCAAUCAUUUGACAUGUUCGGGCUGCAAUACAGUCCCCGGUACUGUAAGUUACGAACCCUCCUUUAACAUAAUCCUCAUUUAACGGCAUUGUUACUAGUAGGGCCAAAUUUGCAGAAAUGCGGAAUUUUUCUGUGCUUUCAGAAAGCGAGCGGAGAUGAGCGAAUCAAACUGCACGUUCGGAUUCUUGGUAAUAUGUAUAUAUUUAGAAGCUUUAAUUAGGUGUAGGUAGUUAUAUCGCAGAUGUCGUUGUUUUGAAUGCUUGCAGAAAUCCUGUAACUGAGCAUAUCGAGUUCCUGUGUCGAGCGUCGCGAAACACAGGAAUAAAGGUAUCCGAAAAUAUCUUUAGCCUAAAUAUUUGCAUGUAGGACGUGUUCUUUUUAGUUUGUUUCAGAUUGCCCCCUUAGCGUUGUUAGAGUAGCGAUACCAGUGAUGUCCCGUGAAAGGUUAUGUCUAUGUAUUUAUUAACGUUAAAAAACCAACAAGAAAAUUGAAUGUUGCAGUGGUUUCAUCAAUCCAGUUAGAUCCAUCGCAAUGUGUGUAAGAAUUACUACUAAGACCUUGAUUGAACUGUAUUUUCGCAGCGCUGAAUGUAUUAGAAUAGAUGUAGUCGUAGGAGUAGGGAUUACAAAUUUCUCUUGCAGGGUGUUUUCGUACGGAUAUUCGUAAACCCAGCCUAUACAAAAUGUAUGUAAAUAAACGUUUACCACUUCCGAAAUUAAUCCUAAGCACGAGCACGAUAAUCACGAAAAAGGCCAAAUGGGAACAUAUAAGUAGUAGAUAAUGUUUAGUUGGAUGGUACAUGAUUCGUGAUUGUUAGAGGUUUGUUUUAGUUUCGUGUGCAAACUAAUCUUGGGCUUAACUUGUGGUGGCAUAAGGGAAAUUUAAACUCUAAUUGGCAUAACUAAAGCAAUUAUUUUGCCGUUAAUGUUUUCGUUUGCUUUGCAUUCAACUUCUUUCGCCACCUACACUUAAUGUACCUUGUCUUUAAUCGAGCUAGUCUAGGUUAGUGUUACGUUUUGAUGAUUUCAGCACGUAGCAACAAGAGCUGUGGCUAACGUUAUUGACAUGUGCAAUUUAGUCUAAGCAUGAAGCUUGAAUGGUUCAUGGUAUCAAAACAAUUCUGCCGACAAAUCCAGCUUGUGUGGUGCAUCGUAUACAAAUCUGAUUUUAUGUAUGUAUUUCAAUAAUGCACAUAACAUUUUGUUAACGCCAAAAUCAUGUAAAUCACCACACUCUUAUGAUAUGUGUGCUUGAUAUUGAAGUGUCAUCGGUAUGUUAUAUACUUCAUUUCUUCGUGUUUACCUUCAUGUCUUCGCUAUAGACCGCUUCAGUCGCAGACACUACCACACAAGUUUAGUGUUAUGCUCUAUUUCUGAUUUUGUCCUAGUUAAUUGUGUGUUUUUAAAGUUUUAAUAUAUUUGUUUGAUUAUGUAUAUUAUAGCUUUGAAUCAUUCUUACAAUUAGGUAUUUCACUGUUAAUUUUAAUGCUAUCGUUUAUUAUAUUUUAAUUACAAUGUGUUAACACUAAAUCCUGGUGUAUUGCAAGGUUUUGUUUGUCUCACUUUGAUAGAUUUGUUUAUCCAAUCAUCCAAAUGUGCAUAUGCACGUGUAAGCUGUUUUUUUAAUAAAAGCUAUAAUUUUAUCUAUUCGUUCUAUGUUUAAUAUUUUUAAUGCCAUAUUUGAUAACAACUGACAUUUAAGCUAAAUGGUAUCUAUAAUAUAUAUUUUUUUACAGGAACUAUUAGUAUUCAUAAUUAAUACAAUUCUAAAAUGUACGACCAUUAAAUUGAUUAUUUUAGUGUAAAUAUUAUUAGGUUUUCUAUAGCAGUAGGUAGGAAACAUAUAGACAACUAAUUUUAUACAUUUGAGACUAUAAAAUCACUUAGGAACUUAUGUAUAUCCGGGCGAUGACAUAGGUAGGGAGCUUCACAAAAUAACUUUAUUUUGUAUUGCAUUGAACUGUAAUUUUAAAUAAAAAAUGUGAUUCCUGUGGAGUUUCUUGCGCCGCUUCUUCUCCACAGAAGGACACUUUCCGAAGCGGUGGUAGUUUUAACAAAAAUAAUAUUUUUAAAACGAUAAAUCAAUAAUUUUAAAAACAAUGAAUAAAUAUUUUAAAACUA